CUCUUAUCCAAGCCUAAAUCUCAUGGAAGUGGAGUAGCCUUCCAGUGUGCUUUCUUUGCUGUUUAAUGUCAGAAGAGAGGAGACAUCCUGCAGUUUGAUAUGUGCAGAAGAAAUGUUAUCUGCUUAACUUGUCAGCUUGAGGACAUCAGAAGUCAUCACCAACUCUGCUUGGUUCUGUGAGCAAAAAAUACAAUAGUUCCUCUGUGCAGUGGUACUUUUUGGAAGUGGGGCACAACACACUGCUAGUGGGGAGAUCUUUAGCAUGUCCUUGGGCUUCUGAGGACCUCCAAGAGUUGCAUUGCUUGUUCAUUCAAGCAGUAGCUGUGUUCAGUAGCCGUGGAUGAGAUGUGUUGUAAUUUUAUUAUUUCUUUAAAUCCGUCUCCCAAGCAUGCAACUUGAUUGAAUUUUAAAGAUGUGUAUGUUUUCUUAGGGUGAUGGGCAUUUAUGCCUUUGUAUAGCAGCUAAUGUAAACAAAAGAGCAGAUCCACACUGCUGCUACCACCUUCUCUCUGUACUGCAGAUGUCUGAGGAGCUGCUGCUGCUGCUGGUAAGUGCUACAGGAGGCUGCUCAGCUUCCCUUUGCAGGCUGCUCUAUCUCCUGAUUCUCCAGGAGAUACCGUAGCUGUGGCUGCAGAUUAGAUUUUUCUCUCCCUCCCCCUGCGAGACCUCUGUGUGCUUUGACGUCAUGUGUGCUCCUUUCAGUUGCCAUAGCAGCCCCAUUCCCCAAGCUCUCUGCCUGUCUCCUCUGCACUGUUUGGAAUGUGAUUUAAAAAUACCACCUAAAGUCGCAGUUUGGGGAAAAGGUUUCUGGACGAGGAGAAUAGCUCGCAAGCAAGGAAUGGGCUAG
rnacentral:lncRNA from 13 species